AAUUGAGAAAUCAAAGGACUGUAUCCCCAAGUGUCAUUUUAACUUCACCUACUAAAAAGUUGUUCUGAAAGUUCUGUUCAUGCAUUUCAGUUUGGGAAGAUGAGAGUAUCCAGAAGGAACCUAAACAAGCAUGGAAAGAACAUACACCUUGCAUGUAGUGUAUUGGCUGGAACUGAACGUUGGACUCCUGGAUCCCGGGGCCCAUGCAUGCCGGCUUUUUUGUUUACGUUCAGCUUAUCACGGAAGAGGAUCAGGCUUGCAGCUACCCUGGAGCACCAGCCUGGGGUAAAAGAGAAUCUGCUUUUGUCUCCAUAAGUGAUUUAAAAAGGACGAAGGAAAUGAGAUAUUACAUCAUAGCGUGAACAUGAUUAAUCCUGCACUUCAAAGGCAGUUCCAUAGCUACCUGACAGCAUUGCCACAACAUUGGCUCCUACAGUUGCAACUUGUCUGUUUUAAUAAGUAUGGGACAUUGGUGCUUUAUGGUAUCUGAUAAAUCUUUCAGAACUCUCAGUUAACAAAAGCAGACCUCAACAACUGAGACUUCAUUUCCUUUUAAGUCCCCUGCUUGGAAAAAGAUGUGCCCUGAAUAUGGAUUACAGUGAAAGGAAGAAAGCAUUGGAGAAAUGUAUCAAGACCAAGUAUAAUUGACCUGUUUUCUUAUGAUGUUCACUGGAGAAAUAAUUGCAAUAAUUUUUUCCAACAUGCUUUAUUUCCUUCUUAA